rnacentral:rRNA from 1 species
UACAGAGGGUGCGAGCGUUGUCCGGAAUCACUGGGCGUAAAGGGCGCGUAGGCGGCGUGACAAGUCACUUGUGAAAUCUCUGAGCUUAACUCAGAACGGCCAAGUGAAACUGUUGUGCUAGAGUGCAGAAGGGGCAAUCGGAAUUCUUGGUGUAGCGGUGAAAUGCGUAGAUAUCAAGAGGAACACCUGAGGUGAAGACGGGUUGCUGGGCUGACACUGACGCUGAGGCGCGAAAGCCAGGGGAGCAAACGGG